rnacentral:tRNA from 1 species
GGGAAUAUAGCUCAGCAGUGCUGCGCCUGCUUCGCAAGCAGGAGGUCCUGAGUUCGAUUCCUGAUAACCCCA